UGUUGGGUUAAGUCCCGCAACGAGCGCAACCCUCGCCCUUAGUUGCCAGCAUUUAGUUGGGCACUCUAAGGGGACUGCCGGUGAUAAGCCGAGAGGAAGGUGGGGAUGACGUCAAGUCCUCAUGGCCCUUACGGGCUGGGCUACACACGUGCUACAAUGGUGGUGACAGUGGGCAGCGAGCACGCGAGUGUGAGCUAAUCUCCAAAAGCCAUCUCAGUUCGGAUUGCACUCUGCAACUCGAGUGCAUGAAGUUGGAAUCGCUAGUAAUCGCGGAUCAGCAUGCCGCGGUGAAUACGUUCCCGGGCCUU
rnacentral:rRNA from 1 species